CUCGCGGGAGGGGGCGCGGGGAGCGGGGCACGCCGGGGAACGGAGGCGAGAACUAGAGCGCAAGCGGAAGGGAGCUGGAUGUGUCAUGGAGAAGAAGCAUAGAAUGAAAAGAGAUGCAGGAGUUGAGGCAGCCAUACACUUCUUUUAGAAGCAGUAUCCCUCUAUAAUUUGGCAGAGAGAAGAGAGAGGAAAUCUUAAGCAUUUUGGACUAAGCAUGGAGCCUGACAUGGGGCUUGAUCUCAUAAUCCUGAGUUCAUCACCUGAGCCAAAAUCAAGAGUUGGAUGCUUAACCGACUAAGCCACCCAGGUGCCCCAAAGAGGUUGCUAUGAGAAAAUGUAAGCCUAGAAAUGCUGGAAGCCGUGUUUGGGAAAAGCCUACCUGGAAAUUAUGCCAAGUCAGAGGAAAGCAGAGCAUAAUGAUGGAGAAAAUCAGAUUCCUGAUAACAUUGUAUGUAUGCCUAGAUCAAGCCAGACCUGUAACUAAC